UACGGAGGGUGCAAGCGUUAUCCGGAUUCACUGGGUUUAAAGGGUGCGUAGGCGGCGCGGUAAGUCGGGUGUGAAAUCUCGGGGCUUAACUCCGAAACUGCAUUCGAUACUGCCGUGCUUGAGGACUGGAGAGGAGACUGGAAUUCACGGUGUAGCAGUGAAAUGCGUAGAUAUCGUGAGGAAGACCAGUGGCGAAGGCGGGUCUCUGGACAGUUCCUGACGCUGAGGCGCGAAGGCCAGGGGAGGCAAACGGG
rnacentral:rRNA from 1 species